UUUAUCGACAUAAUAAUUAACAGGAUGGGCAUGGAAAAUCGUUAUUCAAUGAUUGUUAUUUAAUUUAUAUAUUUAACUUAAAUAUGAAAACGGUUUAUUUAUAUUCCAAUUGCAAUUAAAUCUAAACACGUUCAUUUCGCAAUUUCUUUUUUCAUUGCAGGUGAAGCAAGUUGCUCGGGAAAAUGUUUUCCGUCCUGCCGGUGAAAUUGUGGAGACCGUGAUGAAGGAUCUGAUUUCGGCAGAAGAAUUCGCUCUACCGAAACCAGAUCUUCUUAUCAGGGCCGCCAAUCUUCAUCGGCAGAAUCUCCGACCAACGGACCCAACUACGGUGGACUUCGAGAUCAAUACCACUUUCAUCGGGCCAGACUUCAUUGCGGAUGACAUCCGGAUAGACGACCAGAGGCACAUACUUCUUGCCACAACACCUCAGCUACAGCAGCUUAAACAGGCCAGGCGGUGGUUCUUGGAUGGCACCUUCAAACUGGUGAAACGCCCGUUUUACUAGUUAAUGUCUGUCCACGCGCUCGUCCGAAAGGGUGAAGACGCCAAACAAGUACCACUCGUCUACGUACUGAUGUCACAGAGAACAAAGCAGGAUUAUAUUGCGCUGCCUGGCAGGCAUUAAAGGAAGUUUUUCCGGGGUGUGUUCUGAAGGGAUGUGUGUUCCAUUGGAGUCAGCGGGUUUACCGUAAAAUCCAGUCCGAGGGUCUCGCCACUGCCUACCUGGAAAAAGAAGACAAGUACAGGUUCUUACGGAAACUGCUGAGUCUUGCCAUACCUCCCUUCAGAGCAAAUUCCAGCGGCUUUCCACCAGCUGAAGCAGCAAGCUUUAGAGGUCGGCGGCCCAAUCCUGCACGUGACGCAGUAUGUCCAGGGUACGUGGAUGGAAGGAAUACUGGCAGCCGAACCACUGGAGUGUGUUCUGGGAGACGGUCAGGACAAACAACGACCUUGGAGGGUGGCACAGACGAAUCAACACCCGGGCUGGUCGGGCUGAUUUGGGGUUCUACCUGCAUGUACCUUUGCUUUGCAGAGAGGCCGAGACGGUAGAUCUCCAAAUCAGGCUUGUAUCAGCCCAUCUACUGA